ensembl:lncRNA
AUCCCAGCAUACUAAUCUACUGUAACCCACUAGAACCAUCCCAGCACGCUAACCUGCUGUAACCCACUAGAACCAUCCCAGCAUACUAAUCUACUGUAACCCACUAGAACCAUCCCAGCACGCUAACCUGCUGUAACCCACUAGAACCAUCCCAGCAAACUAAUCUACUGUAACCCACUAGAACCAUUCUAAGCACCACCAGCGAUUGUAAUGCUAUUUGUGCUCCUCCUUUCUAAGUGGUUAAUUGAGCGGUUGUGUUGAGGUCGGUUCUUCCUGAGUGGGCAUGACAUUCCCCUACUGAAUGAUCUUAUUCUGUGUGUUCUUCCCAGGCUUGACCGAGGAGCCGAGCAGUAAGACCGACAGCAGCACGGGCAAACAGAGGAAGAUGAGCAGGAAGACCACUGAGGAAGAGAUAAAGGCACGAACAUUGACCUCCACCAGCAGCGACAGAGUGGGCUCGGAGUCGGCCGACACGGACUCGGACAUCCAACGGCACUGCUCGUCCAGCUCGGAGGCGGAGCCAGAGAAAGUGGUGCUUAGAGAGGAGAGCCCGCCAUUGGCCAGCCCCUUCACCCUCCCCACCUCUUUCGAAGAAGACAUCCUGGACCUAAAGUGAAGACAAUCCCAUCAUGCACUUAUUUUCUGCCCUCCUCCUCCUUUCCUCAUCCCCCUCUUCUCUGCUCCUCCUUUCCUCCUCAUCCCUCUUCUCUCCUCCUCCUUUCCUCCUCAUCCACCUCUUCUCUCCUCCUCCUUUCCUCCUCAUCCCCCUCUUCUCUCCUCCUCCUUUCCUCAUCAUCUCCCUCUUCUCUGCUCCUCCUCAUCCACGUCUUCUCUCAUCCUUUCGGUCAUUUUAUUUGUAGGUUGUUGAUUUCUGUUUAGUUUUUAUCUCUGUGGUCUGGGUCUUCAUCCUCAAACGUGGUGUGUAGAAGAGGAAUGCGUGUGUGUGUGUUGCACCACAGCGAGUAACCCAAAGAAAACGAGGAGGUCAUUUGAGGUGGUGUGGUUAGUUCAGAGUUCAGAGGUCAUUAUACGGCGAAGGUUUUCAUCAAUAAACCAAAACUGAAUGUAAAUCUACGCACAAGGCACGAAGAAAAAUCUGUGUUGGAACCGACACCCUCGUGAAGUUCCUUUGGCUUACCAUUUGUUGCAUAUUAUAUGAUUAUUUCCUAUUCCACUUUCAACUGUAGUAUAAUAUAUGUAUGUAUACAUCUAUUUAUACAUUAAGAUGCAUACACACUGACAGACAUGUAUGCCUUUAUAGAUAUAUUAUAAUACACAUUUUAUUCACAUAUUUAGUAAAUGUAAGAUGUUUUAUGCUCUCCAUGUCUGUCAGUCUUGUUCUGUUUCCUUUCCAACUCACAGUAUGCAGGUAGACAGGGCUGGACUGGAGGCAGAGUCUCCCACAAGUGCCAAUUCGCCACAUCCUACACCAAAACCACAACUCCCAUCAGCCACCUCUCCUUUGAUUGGCUGGACUCUGACAGUAGCGGUCUUAGUCAUGUAUCCCUCUGUAGAUACCAUCUUACAGUGAGUCUGUGAGCUAGGUUCAAUCAUCAUAGAGUCACACACACACACCCCCCUCUAGGGUUUCUAAAAGCACUUGCAUGCCAUGCCUUUGCUACUACUGUCCUGUUUCUGGCUAUCCCUGAGAAUCCCUCAGUCCAGGUACUCACAGAAUAAAAACGCAUAUAGUCUUUUAUACACAGACUACAACCUUCCCUGACAGUAAGCUUACUGUGGCCUAUAAGUGGCCCACCAUUGUCAUAGCCAGCGGGCAGUUAGCUCAUCGGCUUUCUAGUGGGUUCGGCUGCAGUAUCUGACACAAUCCACCGGGCACUCACUGGCUGAAUCAACAUUGUUUCAACGUCAUUUCAAUGAAAUAACAUUGAACCAACAUUGAAUAGACGUUGAAUUGAUGUCUGUGCCCAGUGGACAUGGUCUGUCUGGUGUUAGGCCGCUAUUGUCUACUUGGGACCUCUAUCAGCUUGAUUCUCUUGUUAGUCGGGUUGGAGAAUAUAUCAAGUAGCCAACUACUUCCUUUUAGGAGUGAUGGCUUGAGGUAAUGUAGUCGGUCAUAGGUUGCAUCCAAACUUUUAACCAGGGCCCAUAGAGCGCUGAUCAAAAGUAGGUCAUUAUAUAGGGAAUAGGGUGGCUUUUAGGACAUAGACAUAGUGGAUGAGAGUCCAUUUAGAUGGUAGAUUGGUUAGGGUUAGAUGGUAGAUGGGUUAGGUUUAGAUGAUAGGAGGGUUAGAUGGUAGAUGGGUUAGGGUUAGGGUUAGGUGAUAGGAGGGUUAGAUGGUACAGUGCCUUGCGAAAGUAUUCGCCCCCCUUGAACUUUGCGACCUUUUGCCACAUUUCAGGCUUCAAACAUAAAGAUAUAAAACUGUAUUUUUUUGUGAAGAAUCAACAACAAGUAGGACACAAUCAUGAAGUGGAACGACAUUCAUUGGAUAUUUCAAACAAAUCAAAAACUGAAAAAUUGGGCGUGCAAAAUUAUUCAGCCCCUUUACUUUCAGUGCAGCAAACUCUCUCCCGAAAGUUCAGGGAGGAUCUCUGAAUGAUCCAUGUUGACCUAAAAUUACUCUAAGGAUAUAAAUACAAUCCACCUGGUGUAAUCAAGUCUCCGUAUAAUGCACCUGCACUGUGAUAGUCUCAGAGGUCCGUUAAAAGCGCAGAGAGC